rnacentral:misc_RNA from 1 species
AUCUUUGAAUAUAAAAAAUAAAGGUCGAAGCAAGACUUUUUGAUUCCCUUCUACUGCUAAUGUAAUGUAUACUCAUUGGGUCUUAAAUUACAUCGGAUAGCCGGGGGAGAAUUCAACUACUAGUUAGGUAAAGUCCUUUCUAUACUGUAAUCUACAUAUAUAGACUCGCGAGAAUCUCUGAGUGUUCAGGCAUUCAAUCACUAUUAGAUUGAGAUUGGAUAGAUUUUUUAUAGAAAAAGUAAAAAAAAAUACCCCCCCGUCAAGAGUAUAAUAUACUAUCUCCCAACUCCUUCAGCUAGACAAUCGCGAGGGGGUACGCAUUAUAUCAAUAUCAAAUAGGAAAUAAAAGUAUGUAAUAGAUAACAAUUGAUCUAUUUUUACUUUGAAGGGCAAAAAAAAAAGAAAGGGCUCUCUUAUUUUAUUACUGGACGUUCCAUUCCAUUAGUAACAUUCCUUUGUAGUGUCAUUGUGUAUUUUACUUGUGUUUAGUCUUUCCACAUUAGAAAUCAUAUAGGAAUUUUUGAAAUGGCUUUAUUUUMUUGGUUSAUCAAUAGUG